rnacentral:other from 1 species
UUGCCUGGGGUGUUCGAGAUAUUCCUUAUAUUUUGAACCUACAUAUUGACAUACGGGAUUCCUAUAUUGCGGAGCGGAUGCCAGGCCUCCUUUGAGUGGAAGGCAGAAACUGCCGCUGCGGGCACCCACCUGGCUCUGCUAGGGAGUCAAAAGCAGGAUGACGGCACCCUGGGUU